AGAGUUUGAUCCUGGCUCAGAUUGAACGCUGGCGGCAGGCCUAACACAUGCAAGUCGAACGGUAACAUUUCUAGCUUGCUAGAAGAUGACGAGUGGCGGACGGGUGAGUAAUGCUUGGGAACUUGCCUUCGGGAGGGGGAUAACAGUUGGAAACGACUGCUAAUACCGCAUAAUGUCUCCGGACCAAAGCGGGCUUUUAGCUCGCACCUGAAGAGAGGCCCAAGUGAGAUUAGCUAGUUGGUAAGGUAAAGGCUUACCAAGGCAACGAUCUCUAGCUGUUCUGAGAGGGAGAUCAGCCACACUGGGACUGAGACACGGCCCAGACUCCUACGGGAGGCAGCAGUGGGGAAUAUUGCACAAUGGGGGAAACCCUGAUGCAGCCAUGCCGCGUGUGUGAAGAAGGCCUUCGGGUUGUAAAGCACUUUCAGUUGCGAGGAAAGGUUGGUAGUUAAUACCUACCAGCUGUGACGUUAACAACAGAAGAAGCACCGGCUAACUCCGUGCCAGCAGCCGCGGUAAUACGGAGGGUGCGGGCGUUAAUCGGAAUUACUGGGCGUAAAGCGCACGCAGGCGGCUUGUUAAGCUAGAGGUGAAAGCCCCGCGCUCAACGUGGGAACUGCCUUUAGAACUGGCAGGCUAGAGUCUUGGAGAGGGGAGUGGAAUUCCAGGUGUAGCGGUGAAAUGCGUAGAUAUCUGGAGGAACAUCAGUGGCGAAGGCGGCUCCCUGGCCAAAGACUGACGCUCAUGUGCGAAAGUGUGGGUAGCGAACAGGAUUAGAUACCCUGGUAGUCCACACCGUAAACGCUGUCUACUAGCUGUUUGUGUAUUUAAUACGUGAGUAGCGAAGCUAACGCGCUAAGUAGACCGCCUGGGGAGUACGGCCGCAAGGUUAAAACUCAAAGGAAUUGACGG
rnacentral:rRNA from 1 species